AAGGGUUUAGCUUAAUUAAAGUAUCUGUUUUGCAUACAGGUGAUGUAGGUUUAUAAACUUGCAAUCCUUA
rnacentral:tRNA from 1 species